CAGGAAGUCCUCUCCGGAGCCACUCCAGUGCUAAGGUUUGGGCCUGCCUCUCAGCUUGUGCAGAUGAGACUCUGGAACCGCUUGCAGGGAUGACAUCACUUGGGAACUUAGAGUGGGUUAGAAAGGAUUGAUCCAGUGUGAGAAAUUCUUCCAGGAUGCAAAUGAAGAAGAAAAAAAAAAAGAACCCGGUGGACAUGGACACAGCCCAGAGUGCACUCAACCCAGCACAAGCGUGGAAUGGCCUCUAGAAAUACACCUGCGACCUCCCCUUCCUCCUUGGUUUCUUAUUUGUGAAAGAAUGUUGAAUCUUGCCAAGGUGGGCACGUGCGCGCGAGUGCGAGCCUUCCCAGAAGCGAGAGGCUACAGAUCUCCCUGGAGCUGACGUCCCGGUCAAUUGUGAUCCUCCUGACUGAGCACGGAGAUCGAGUCCAGGUCCUCUGCAAGAGCACUCCAUGCUCCUAAUCUGCGGUGCACCUCCCCAGC